rnacentral:siRNA from 1 species
GUUUGAAUAUCUGUGUGAGCCA